GGGGGCUUUUGCAAGACUUCUAUCGUUUUGUGAAGCUCAGAGACAGGUAGGAGAGACAUACCUAAAUGAAAAGAGUUCAAGAUCUCAUCAAAUUAUCAGAUUGACAAUAGAAAGUUCUGCCAAGAAAUUCCUUGGGCAAAGAUAACUCAGCCA